rnacentral:rRNA from 1 species
UUUAUGGAGAGUUUGAUCCUGGCUCAGGAUGAACGCUGGCGGCGUGCCUAAUACAUGCAAGUCGAGCGAACGGACGAGAAGCUUGCUUCUCUGAUGUUAGCGGCGGACGGGUGAGUAACACGUGGAUAACCUACCUAUAAGACUGGGAUAACUUCGGGAAACCGGAGCUAAUACCGGAUAAUAUUUGAACCGCAUGGUUCAAAAGUGAAAGACGGUCUUGCUGUCACUUAUAGAUGGAUCCGCGCUGCAUUAGCUAGUUGGUAAGGUAACGGCUUACCAAGGCAACGAUGCAUAGCCGACCUGAGAGGGUGAU